rnacentral:rRNA from 1 species
UACGGGGGGGGCAAGCGUUGUUCGGAAUUACUGGGCGUAAAGGGCUCGUAGGCGGCCAACUAAGUCGGACGUGAAAUCCCUCGGCUUAACCGGGGAACUGCGUCCGAUACUGGAUGGCUUGAGUUUGGGAGAGGGAUGCGGAAUUCCAGGUGUAGCGGUGAAAUGCGUAGAUAUCGAGAGGAAUACCAACGGCGAAGGCAGGUCACUGGGCAGUUACUGACACUGAGGCACGAAGGCCAGGGGAGCAAACGGG